UGGGGAAUAUAGGACAAUGGGCGAAAGCCUGAUCCAGCCAUGCCGCGUGUGUGAAGAAGGUCUUCGGAUUGUAAAGCACUUUAAGUUGGGAGGAAGGGCAGUAAGCGAAUACCUUGCUGUUUUGACGUUACCGACAGAAUAAGCACCGGCUAACUCUGUGCCAGCAGCCGCGGUAAUACAGAGGGUGCAAGCGUUAAUCGGAAUUACUGGGCGUAAAGCGCGCGUAGGUGGUUCGUUAAGUUGAAUGUGAAAGCCCCGGGCUCAACCUGGGAACUGCAUCCAAAACUGGCGAGCUAGAGUAGGGCAGAGGGUGGUGGAAUUUCCUGUGUAGCGGAGAAAUGCGUAGAUAUAGGAAGGAACACCAGUGGCGAAGGCGACCACCUGGGCUCAUACUGACACUGAGGUGCGAAAGCGUGGGGAGCAAACAGG
rnacentral:rRNA from 1 species